GAGCGAACAGAUGAGGAGCUUGCUCCUUUGAUGUUAGCGGCGGACGGGUGAGUAACACGUGGGUAACCUACCUAUAAGACUGGGAUAACUUCGGGAAACCGGAGCUAAUACCGGAUAAUAUUUCGAACCGCAUGGUUCGAUAGUGAAAGAUGGCUCUGCUAUCACUUAUAGAUGGACCUGCGCCGUAUUAGCUAGUUGGUAAGGUAACGGCUUACCAAGGCAACGAUACGUAGCCGACCUGAGAGGGUGAUCGGCCACACUGGAACUGAGACACGGUCCAGACUCCUACGGGAGGCAGCAGUAGGGAAUCUUCCGCAAUGGGCGAAAGCCUGACGGAGCAACGCCGCGUGAGUGAUGAAGGUCUUCGGAUCGUAAAACUCUGUUAUUAGGGAAGAACAAACGUGUAAGUAACUGUGCACGUCUUGACGGUACCUAAUCAGAAAGCCACGGCUAACUACGUGCCAGCAGCCGCGGUAAUACGUAGGUGGCAAGCGUUAUCCGGAAUUAUUGGGCGUAAAGCGCGCGUAGGCGGUUUUUUAAGUCUGAUGUGAAAGCCCACGGCUCAACCGUGGAGGGUCAUUGGAAACUGGAAAACUUGAGUGCAGAAGAGGAAAGUGGAAUUCCAUGUGUAGCGGUGAAAUGCGCAGAGAUAUGGAGGAACACCAGUGGCGAAGGCGACUUUCUGGUCUGUAACUGACGCUGAUGUGCGAAAGCGUGGGGAUCAAACAGGAUUAGAUACCCUGGUAGUCCACGCCGUAAACGAUGAGUG
rnacentral:rRNA from 1 species